rnacentral:misc_RNA from 1 species
UGGCUCUCGCAUCGAUGAAGAACGCAGCGAAAUGCGAUAAGUAAUGUGAAUUGCAGAAUUCAGUGAAUCAUCGAAUCUUUGAACGCACCUUGCGCUCCUUGGUAUUCCGAGGAGCAUGCCUGUUUGAGUGUCAUGGUAUUCUCAUCUCUUACUUGUUUUAUUCUAUGAGACAAGUCUGAGCUGGAUGUGGAGGUUCUGCCGGUGCUUGCCAUCGGCUCCUCUGAAAUACAUGAGUGCAGAUAUUUUCCGAGUGUUCUCUCAGCGUGAUAAUUGUCUAGCUGUGGGCAUGAGGUGAUAUUAAAUCUGUGCUUCAAACCGUCCCUUAACUGAGACAAAUCUUUGACAUCUGACCUCAAAUCAGGUAGGACUACCCGCUGA